rnacentral:rRNA from 1 species
UACAGAGGUCUCAAGCGUUGUUCGGAUUCAUUGGGCGUAAAGGGUGCGUAGGCGGCGCGGUAAGUCGGGUGUGAAAUCUCGGAGCUUAACUCCGAAACUGCAUUCGAUACUGCCGUGCUUGAGGACUGGAGAGGAGACUGGAAUUUACGGUGUAGCGGUGAAAUGCGUAGAUAUCGGAAGGAACAUCAGUGGCGAAAGCGACUGCCUGGUCCAGCAUCGACGUUCAGGCACGAAAGCGUGGGGAGCAAGACAG